GAUCCAUCAUGGCGAUGCACGCUAAGGCUACUCCGCCGCAGAUCCCGGACACCCGCCGGGAGCUUGCCGAACUGGUGAAGAGGAAACAAGAGCUUGCAGAGACGCUUGUGAAUUUGGAACGACAAAUAUACGCCUUUGAAGGCAGUUACCUAGAAGACACUCAAAUGUAUGGCAACAUCAUCAGAGGAUGGGACAGAUACCUUACCAACCAAAAGAACUCUAAUAGUAAGACUGAUAGAAGAAAUCGAAAAUUCAAGGAGGCAGAGCGUCUAUUCAGCAAGUCAUCAGUCACAUCAGUAGCAGCAGUGUGUGCACUUGGCGGGAUACCAGAUCACAUGAACGAAAAACGUGAGGCGGGCAGCGGCACAGAAAGCGACGCCUCUCCGGACCUCCAGAACCAAGAGAACGAACCCAGCCAGGAGGACACAGAGGAUGUCGACUCCAGCCUCCAGGACUUGAAACCCCAAAAAGCUGCCUCCUCCUCUUCAUCUGGCAGCCAUCACGGAAGCCAUAAGAAGAGGAAGAACAAAAAUAGGCACAGAUGUCUGGUGGAGUACCAAGACUGAUGUGUGAGAGGCGACACGGUGCCACGGAGGCAUCAAUGCUGCCAGAAAAUGCAAAGAAGAAAGAGUAGGAAUACAAGUUAGGCUAAUUGUUCGCUUUUCUGGUAACCAAUGUUCCCUUGGUUAUUCACUGUUCGUUCCUUGCAAAUUCACUUAUUCACGGAUUUAAAAAAAAUAAUAAUACAAAUUUUUAACAAUGUGUUUAAAGUCUGUUUUAAUAGGUAAAUCUAAAAAUGCCCAAAAGUGAAAGAAAUUAGACUGUUCAUUGUGGAUUUUUCACCUUUUGCAGGUGGGUCUGGAAUGUAUCCCCCAUGAUAUUUGAGGUUCACUGUAUGUCAUAUGCAUACAAUAUAAAAAAAAUAACAUUGGCCCUGUGGAGGUACAGGAUUUUUACCCAAGCUAGUUGUAACUACGAGGUCAGCACAGUUAUACAGGGUGUAAUUUUUUUUUAAUUUUUCAUAUUUUCGGGCAUUCCUCCUCUCACUACAUAUUAACCCAGCAGGCUCUCCUGCUAACGCACUGAGGCGACGCGUGUGUGUCACUCUGGACUACUGUUGGGGUUCAGACUUUGGUUGGUGAACUCACUAACAGCUGCUGAUCAUUUCCUUCCCCUGUUGUAAUGCUGACUCCUCCCCCUUCCCCCCCAGCCCUUCUGCCAUGUUUGAUUAUGACUUUGAGUAAGUUCUGAAUUUUACUUCCUGCUGGUCUGCACAACCUGUCUGCUUCUAACCGCAUCCCGUACUCGUCUCCUCUCUGUCGAGUUGAAGUCUGCUAGUUUUUGAGUCAUGCUUGCAUGUCUUCGACUGCUUCUCAGCAUCCAUCACCCCUCAUUGCUUGCUACUGGGCCGGCGUCACGUCUUUUCUGAUAACUCAUGCAGUGUGCUCUUGUCAAAAGCAGUGCUGUUCUUGUAAGAUGAUGGGCUGGCUGGCUUCAAGUUUGUCUGCAGAAAAAAAAGAAAAAAACAAUCUCAAAGUUUAGCGUUUUUGCUAUGGUUUGGUUGUUAGGCUCCCUCAUGGUACAGUAGUGGCACCGCUUUUUGUCAUUGCUCUUAGACGUUCACCACUCCUCAUAUCUAAACCCAGCCUCUCUUUGUUGCCCAUGCAGGUUCGACAUGAAAGUGAACAAAAAACCGAGAGCUGAAUACUCCACCUGAAAAAGACAAGAUGUGGAUGAGAGACUUUGUGAACGUCAUAUGGCUUCCCCCCCCCAGUUGUCAUAUUGCUGCUGUGAUGCGUGUUCUGCUCAAAACAUUCCCCAGCUUCCUGGCGUCCUGCAUGUUACUCCACACCAGCCAGUAACAUUUUGUAAAGUGUUUAAAAAAGACUAUUUAUUUUGUAGGCAAGCAACAUAUUUUCCUUUUUUUAUUUUUUUGUGAACUCCAUGUUAUUGUGAAUCCCCUUCAAUCAUCUGUAUUUUUAUUUUGUGGUGUUUUUCAAGAAAAUAAAAUACCAUAUGUGGGUAUUUUUUUAAUUAAAA